UCUUGAACUACAAUGGUAGAAGUCGUGUGUUUAUUUAUGCAGAGAAGGUGGAAGAAUACAUUAAAGCUGCGAUUUUUAUCUCAAAAAAUCCAAGAGUACAGAGAAGGUGAAAGAACACAUUAGAGCUGCGAUUUUUAUCUCAAAAAAUCCAAGAGUACAAGUUCGUAAACACAAAAGACUACAGUAACAGCGGCGGUGCUGAAGGUCAGGACGGUGUUGAAUAAUGAAGGUGUCAUUUUGAACUAUUUUCCCCCUUUUUUGGGGCUGUUAUUUGUCUCUAUUUGCAAGGUUUUAAUUUUGUUGUUAUACAUGUUUUCCUUUUAAUAAUAUUUAUUUUUUGUUACUGAUUUUUCAACUGUGUUUUUGGUUCCUUUUUAUUUUCUCGGGCUAUCAACGAAGAAGCAUUCAUCAGGCAAGUUGUUUUUAUUUGGAAGGUUUUAAUUUUGUUUGUUGUUAUGCAUGUUUUUUUUAAUAAUAGUUAUUUUUUCUUACUGAUUUUAUAACUCUGUUUUUGGUUUUUUUUUCUCGGGCUAUCGAUGAAAAAGCAUCAUGCAGGCAACUUUUUUUCCCUUUUGUUGUUAUGCAUGUUUGUUUUGGUACUAUUUGUCUCUAUUUGUAAUGUUUUAAUUUUGUUUGUUGUUAUGCAUGUUUCCUUCUUAAUAAUAAUUACUUUUUCUUACUGAUUUUUACAACUCUGUUU